CUAUAUACAGUGAAACCUCGUUAAGUGAGACAUCAAGGGACCUUCAAAUUGGUAUCACUUAUAGAGGUAUUCCACUAACCCAGUGUCUCAGAUAACCAGGUAUAAAUAAACAUUUGUCUCAUUUACAGAGGGUUCCAUUAAUGGAGGUGUGAUUCUUAAAUAAAACAAUGUGUUAUGUGCACAUUAUAAAUGAAUAAGAAUAAGUAAAUCAACAAACAAAACGAUGUUGUCUCAGUUACUGAGGUUUAUGCAUUAAAAUUCACUCGUUGUCUCAGUUAUAGAGGUAACUAAGAUGAUAAAUCGAAAGAACGAAUCCCAGAUAUAGAGGGUUAUUUGUCCCACUAAUAGAGGUAAUUCAGUGCCAAUGGGUAGGGACCUCAGUAUGAGUUCCAUUUGUGGAGGUUUCUCACUUAUCCAGGUCCCACUUAACCAAGUUUCACUGUAGAUGUUA